rnacentral:lncRNA from 1 species
GAGUGAGGAGAGAAACCGAGAAUGGGAAGAGAGAAAGAUAGAGACAGGGAAAGAGGAGAGAGACCGAGACCGAGGCCGAGAAUGAGGAGAGAGAGAGAGAAAGAGAGAGAGAGAGAGAGAGAGAGAGAGAGAGAGAGAGAGAGAGAGAGAGAGAGAGAGAGAGAGAAAACUGUUGACUAUAUAUGAUGGUGUAUAUACCACUGAGAGAAAUUUUCUGUUGGAUGAGUGAGAGCCAUAUAGCUGAGUGGGAUAUUCUCCCCUAUUAAGAUGCUGACUUCCCAUAUUUUCUAGCAUUUCCCUUCCUUAGUCUCUGACAUAUUCAUGUAACUGCUUUAACCUCAGCAGCUUUCCUCAGCUUUUAGAGGAAAUUCAGUGUGCUAAAAUCAAUGGAUCCAUCACCUCAACCCUUCAGAAUCAUAACUUUAGCACUAAAAGGGGCCACAGAGACUGCCAAGUCUAUUCAAUACAUAAGGAAACUGAGUCGGUCAGUCAGAAACCAUUUCUUAUUUCUUACAAACCUACUGUGUGGUGGGUCCUGUGCUAAGUACUGUGAAUACCAAGUCAGGCAAGAGUCCCUGCCUUCCAGGAGUUCACAGUCUAAUGAGGAUCAACUGGCAAGACUCAAACCCAGCUUCCCUGACUCCAGUGGUCUCUUUUCACUGCAAUAUAAGUGGUGAAGAUGAUGCCCAGAGAGAAGAAGCAUCUGUCUCAAGGUCACACAGCUCGCCAUACUGAAGAUCUGGUACUAUUAGCUCCUCUUUUUCUAAACUAAAGACAGUCCCUUCCUCCAUCUGCCUCUGCCCUGCCCCCUUCCUCUCCUCUCAGUUUUUUAAAAACAAGAGAUAAUUUCAUUUGU